rfam:Triticum aestivum genome assembly, contig: Triticum_aestivum_CS42_TGACv1_scaffold_146979_2BS
CAAAUACUCCCUAUACUUGUCAUCGAAAUGGAUAAAAGGAAAUGUAUCUAGACGUAUUUUAGUUUUAGAUACAUCUCUUUUUAUCCAUUUUGACGACAAGUAUUUUCGGACGGAGGGAGUAUUUA